rnacentral:rRNA from 1 species
GACGAACGCUGGCGGCGUGCUUAACACAUGCAAGUGGUGCGACGAACCAGGGCUUGCCCUGGGGCAAAGCCGCGAACGGGUGAGUAACACGUGGGUAAUCUGCCCCGAUGACUGGGACAACCCGAGGAAACUCGGGCUAAUACCGGAUGACGUGCUUGGCUUUAAGGCCUUGUACUAAAGGAAGCUUCGGCCUCCGCAUUGGGAGGAGCCCGCGGCCCAUUUAGCUUGUUGGUGGGGUAACGGCCCACCAAGGCAACGAUGGGUAGCUGGUCUGAGAGGACGAUCAGCCACACUGGGACUGAGACACGGCCCAGACUCCUACGGGAGGCAG